UACGUAGGGUCCGAGCGUUGUCCGGAUUUAUUGGGCGUAAAGAGCGUGUAGGCGGCCAGGUAGGUCUGCUGUGAAAACUCGAGGCUUAACCUCGAGCUGUCGGCGGAAACCAUCUGGCUAGAGUCCGGAAGAGGAGAAUGGAAUUCCCGGUGUAGCGGUGAAAUGCGCAGAUAUCGGGAAGAACACCCGUGGCGAAGGCGGUUCUCUGGGACGGUACUGACGCUGAGACGCGAAAGCGUGGGGAGCGAACAGG
rnacentral:rRNA from 1 species